UACGUAGGGGGCGAGCGUUGUCCGGAUUUAUUGGGCGUAAAGAGCUCGUAGGCGGUUCAGCAAGUCGGGUGUGAAACCUCCAGGCUCAACCUGGAGACGCCACCCGAUACUGCUGUGACUUGAGUCCGGUAGGGGACCACGGGAAUUCCUGGUGUAGCGGUGAAAUGCGCAGAUAUCAGGAGGAACACCGGUGGCGAAGGCGGUGGUCUGGGCCGGCACUGACGCUGAGGAGCGAAAGCGUGGGGAGCGAACAGG
rnacentral:rRNA from 1 species